GAGAAGCAGGAGCAGGAGGUUCGGGAGGAUCCGGACUUAAACAUGUUUACUGAAGACAUUCUUAGUACUGAAAGUGGAAAGGACAAUUUGAAAACACCGAUUUCCCCUAAGGCUUCGCCCCCCGUGCAUGGCAGCAAGUGCAAACUAUGCGGCAAAAUGAUUGGAAGGUUGAGCACCUUGGGAAACCACGUAAUGAACCAACAUUACACAGCAAUAAGAGGAAAAAAAAGUGACCGUGCUAAGACUAUCAGAGCAAACUGGGGUGCCGGCCGAGUAUUUGAGGGCGAAAGUCAUGUGCAGCGAUGACUAUAAAAAAAUUGGGUUCCGCUUGUGGGCCGUCAAGACGGAUGCAGAGAAGCUGAAGGACAUCAACCAAUAACUGUUUCGAUUUUUAAUUUUAAAAUUUGAUUUGGCUUGAGUACACUGAUCCAGAGAAGCUGAAGGACAUCAACC